rnacentral:rRNA from 1 species
UGGGGAAUAUUGCGCAAUGGGGGGAACCCUGACGCAGCAACGCCGCGUGAGUGAAGAAGGUCUUCGGAUCGUAAAACUCUGUCAUAGGGGAAGAAGGAAGUGACGGUACCCUAUGAGGAAGCCCCGGCUAACUACGUGCCAGCAGCCGCGGUAAUACGUAGGGGGCGAGCGUUGUCCGGAAUGAUUGGGCGUAAAGGGCGCGUAGGCGGCCUGUUAAGUCUGGAGUGAAAUUCCUGCUUUCAUGGUAGGAAGUGCUUUGGAAACUGGCGGGCUGGAGUGCAGGAGAGGUUAGCGGAAUUCCCGGUGUAGCGGUGAAAUGCGUAGAGAUCGGGAGGAACACCAGUGGCGAAGGCGGCCUGCUGGACAUUAACUGACGCUGAUGCGCGAAAGCGUGGGGAGCAAACAGG